GAUGAACGCUGGCGGCGUGCCUAAUACAUGCAAGUCGAGCGAACGGACGAGAAGCUUGCUUCUCUGAUGUUAGCGGCGGACGGGUGAGUAACACGUGGAUAACCUACCUAUAAGACUGGGAUAACUUCGGGAAACCGAGCUAAUACCGGAUAAUAUUUUGAACCGCAUGGUUCAAAAGUGAAAGACGGUCUUGCUGUCACUUAUAGAUGGAUCCGCGCUGCAUUAGCUAGUUGGUAAGGUAACGGCUUACCAAGGCAACGAUGCAUAGCCGACCUGAGAGGGUGAUCGGCCACACUGGAACUGAGACACGGUCCAGACUCCUACGGGAGGCAGCAGUAGGGAAUCUUCCGCAAUGGGCGAAAGCCUGACGGAGCAACGCCGCGUGAGUGAUGAAGGUCUUCGGAUCGUAAAACUCUGUUAUUAGGGAAGAACAUAUGUGUAAGUAACUGUGCACAUCUUGACGGUACCUAAUCAGAAAGCCACGGCUAACUACGUG
rnacentral:rRNA from 1 species